GACGACGACGACAAGGACAACAACAACAACAACAAUAACAACAAAAACAACAACAACCACAACAACAACAACAACAACAACAAGCACCAAAACAAAAACAACCACAACCACAACAACAACCCCUAAACUACCAACAACAACAGCAACAACAACGACGACGACAACAACAACAACAACAACAACAACAACCACAACCACAACAAAAACAACAACAACAACAACAACAACAACAAAACCAACAACAACGACGGCGACAACAACAACGAAGACAACGAUGACGACGAUGGAAACAAUGACAAUGAAGAGAACAAUGACAACACAACAACAACA
rnacentral:lncRNA from 1 species